AAUUUAUGCCCCGGGAUAGUUUGGCCGAAGUAAUGUGGAUAGAGGUGGAUAAUUUUUGGAUGACCGAGACCCCUAACUAAAAGUUAUCCGGGGGAUAAGGGAGGGGAUAAGAAAAAAAAUAUAAUGAAAGAGAAAUAAAAUGUAUAAUUUUUAUAUUAUAUAUAUAUAGAUAUAGAAAUUAAAAUAUAAUGUUAAUAUUAAAUAGUUUAUAGUUGGUGCUCACUAUAUAUGGUUCUGUCUUAUCCUCCACCCUUAUCACCCAUUCUAAAAAGUAUCCAAAACAAAGUUAAAAGUUAUCCCUCUUAUUAAAAUUUAUACCCCCAUCCAAUAUCCUCCAGCCAACGAGCCCUUAGGGGUUUGUAAAAUAAGUCCGCCCAGUCGGCCCAAAAAUUUCGAGUUCGAGCAAACUUCAGGUGGUGUCAUUGGGCCCAUGCCAAAGUUUAGGCCGAGCGGGCGCCCAAAAUUUAAAAACCUCAUGCCCAGCCCAGCCCAAAAUCCUGAGUUUAAGGGCUAGGGCUCAGGCUUCGGGCUCGGUGCUGUGGGAGAGGCGGCAUCGGGCUUCUCUGCCCUUUUUUUUUAUUGGAAAAUUUGCUUUACCAAAAAAAAAAGUAAAGCAAGGAGGGAAGGGAAGAGAAAUAAUGGAAAUAUAAAUUUUACUUUUCAUCCAAAAAUAAAUAGUAGAUUUAUCCUACUAUAAAAAAGAGAGUAAAAGUUAAAGCUAAAUGUUAGAUAUUAGUUAUAUUAUUAUCAUAAUAAUAUUUACAACUAUGAAGGUAAGCUUAAUUGACAAAUUACUUUUAGCAUCCCAGCUGAAAGAAUAGUGUAAUAUAGUGAAAAUAUGACUAGUAAAAGAAUUAACCUGUGGAGAUAAAUUGACCAAAAGCAGCUGCUGCUGCUGCUGCUGCUGCGGGGGCCAGGGGGUAGGGUUGGGUUCAGGUGGUCUCCGGGCAGCGCAUUUGAGCCGGGCUUCGGAUCCCAAACCCCUAGGCUCAAGUCCAGUCCAAAUACUUCAGGCGGGUAGGUAUGGGAUCACUUUGGGCUUCGAGCGGGCGUCGAGUUGGUGUUUUGGUGGUGACAGAAUGUGGGAAUUGGUUUUCACGUGUUAUGAGGGGUUUCGCUGAUGGUCGAGGCGAGAGAGAGGAGAAUUAUAAGGAGGCUGUAUUCCACACAGUGAGCGUGUUCGAGUCUCGCCAUCAGCUGAAGAUCCUCCAUUUUACCUCGGGUGGUGGGCUUGUAGGGACCCACUCAGCCCGGUUUGGGUUACUUCCUCUGUGGUGUUGCACCCAGGGGUGUGUGGCUUGUCCGAGUCAUCAAAAAAAAAAAAAAGUUGAGAUUUUGAUUUAUCUAUUACACUUCCAACCAAAAUUCUAGGGGCUUUUAGGAACUAAAAAAGGCCAUGGACUUACAGAAUUCAAGGGUUUUGGAAAAUUGCAAUUAAAGAAGAAGAAGAGUUAUGUAGUAAGACGAGUAAGAUUUUUUUUCUAUAUAAACAAAGAUAACACAUGUAUUUUAUUGUUGAGAAGGAAAAAUUACAUAUUUUUUUGGCGUGUUUGGAUGUUUUCAAUUAAGACCUAAUAGUGAAGGGUAUUUUUGUCAAUAUUAUUUGUUGUACAUGCAUGUGCUGGUCACAAGACUUUUUUCAUCCAAAAAACUAACAAAUUUUUAAUGGCACGUGUCAAUUGCCUAACCUCAAAUACAUUAAGGGGGUUAAGUGUUUGAGUUCAAACAUCAGGGGGCAACUCAGAAAUAGGUCAUAGUUUAAGGUGGUUGAUGACUCAAGAUGAUUUUAGCCCUUCGAUCUGAAACAAAACAUCUCAAUCAUUGAUUAUUAAAAAAAAAAAUACCACUUAAUUAUAAAAAAAUUACCCCUAUUAUUGCUGGUUACCAUACCUGGCGAUUUUGAAUCCCAAAACGCUCAACCCGAGAGAACGCUCACUCCAUCUCCUAUAUAUUUUAAUGAAAAAACUCAAAUUGAAUUUUCGUAUUUUUGAAAAAAGAAGUUUGCUUAUUCGACACUAUUUUUCUAAAAUAUUUUAUUUAUUUAAUUAGAAAAAUAAUUUCCUAAUUUUUGUUAAAAAAGAAAAAUUUCCUAAUAUGAGAGUACUUUUUAUAAAAGACAAAUAGAAAGCAAACUAUAAAAUUAAGAGAAAAAAAGAUGACUUAAUUAUUUGGACAGAGAGAGGGAGGCCGGGGGAAGGGAGAAUCAGAGAAGGAAGCGAACUUUAGAAAUGGCAAUAAACUCCAUCCUGCCCCACUCUGAUCGAGGCAUAGUUUUACGGGGACAGGGAAGGAAAAAAAUAUAAAAAAAAAUGAGAAUGGAGAGAUAGUUUUGUAUGUUUUCGCCCUAAUACCUGGCCCACUCCAUCCUGCUAGAGUAAAUAUAUAUUUUAUUUAUUAUAUUUUAUAUUAUUGAAUAUAGAUUUUGUAUUAUUUACUAACACUAAAUAUCAAAUAUAUUAUUUAGUGUCUUGCAAAUAUAAGAAUUUAAAAGAACAUAAUCAACUAGUUAUUUUUUUAUAAUCAAUUAGUACUGUUACUUUUGUUUUCACUUUUUUAUGACUUUAAUUUUUAAUUUUUAAUAACUUUAAAUGUUAUAUUUUUAAUGUUAACUAAGUAAAAGUUAUUCAUUAUUUACUACUUUAGUUUAUUAUUAUUUUUUUACUAAAUAAUUUAUAGUUGAUUAAGGAAAGAAAAGACAAUGAAAACGGUUAUAAGACGGAAAAAAUUGAUUCACAUAGAGAAUGAAGAUAGGAUGAUCAAUUUAAUUCCCGCCGAAAUUCGGGAAGGAAAUGAAAAUAGUAGCAGAGAGAAUGAGAUAUGAAAUCCAAGGUUUUAAAAAACGGACCGAACCGGCCGGUUGAACUGGCAACCGGUCGGGGAAACGGUCCGGUUACCCACCAAAAUCCGGUCAAACUCAGUCAACCCGGCGGUUGAACCGUUGAACCGGUGGUUGCAACGGUUUAAGUAGUUGAACCGGAUUGAACCGGUUAGUGAGAGGAUGUUUGAUUUGUUUUGGAUUUAAUCAAACUUUAGACCCUCACAAUUUUAAGGAUAUCUCACUUGACUCACAAUGUUAAAAUUAUUGCAAUUAACCCCAAAUUAUUUUUAUUUUUAUAUAGUUAUAAAUAAUUUAUGACGCACGGUUCGAAACGGUUCAAUAACGGUUAACUGACGGUUUGAACCAGUACACCCGUGAACCCGAUAUCUUUUUCGAUUCAACCGAUUUUCGAUUUUUAAAAACAUGAUGAAAAUCUCCGUCCAAAUACCCUCCGUUGCGUUGCUGGCGCUGGCUUUUGAGCUUCUCUAGUAAGAAAAGUCAAAGGAAUUGACAGGAAAACGUUGGAUUGAGGACCAAACUCUUUACUCCCCACCCCAUUGGUCAGGUGAGGGGUGUGGGAUGGGGACAGGUUUGGAAGGAUGUUGGCCCUAAUUUGUCCUCUCUCUCUCUCCAUCUCUCUUGCAUCUUUUCACUCCUUUCUCAGCUAGACGCCCCUGUUGGUUUAUUUUUAUUUUCUAUUUUUAUUAUUUUUUAUAUAUUGUUUAUUAUUAUUAAAUUUAUUUAUUUUUUAUCAGUUUAUUUUUCUUUUUAGAUAAAUAUUUUAUUCCAAUUUUAUUCUAAAAAAAAAUUUAUGAUAAAACUUUAUAAUUCUUUUCCUUCACCUCUCCAAAAAUUUUGAUCUCAAAAUUAUUUUAGAUCUAUUUUUUAUAUAAAAAAAAAUAAAGUGGGAGUAAAAAAAUUUAUUAAAUUUAAUCAUACAUUUAUAAUUUUAUAUAAAAAAAGUUUGGAUAUGAUAAAAAUUUUAAAGUUCUUUUACUCCGACUAUUUUUUUAUUAAAAAAGGGAAUAUGGAUAAAAAAAACAUUACUUUUCUCCCACCAUCAAAUUUAUUUUUUUUAAAAUUAACAAAAUUAAAAAAAUGAUUUUUUUUAAAAAAACUGAUUAAAAAAAUAAAUAUAAAACUACAAAUAAUUAAAACAAAUUUAAAAAAAAAAACAAAACUAAUGAAAAAUAAAUAAAACAAUUUACAAAAAAAACUGAAAAAAAAAAGCAAAACAAAAGCUAAUGGAAAAAAAAUACAAACCGUGGAAAAGAAAAAAAAGAGAGAGAGAGGGUUUAGGUGGUUUGUCAUGGGUUACGGGGGAGUAAAAAAAUUUUAUAAAAAUUGUAUUUAUAAUUUAGAAAAAAAAUAUAAAAUCUUAUCAUAAUGUUAUGAAAAUCUUAUCAUAAAAAAUGAGGAGAUGUUUUUUACACUUGGAAUACACUUGUCACUGUCCAACUAUUUGGAAUUGAGUCAUCCAUAGUGCUCUACACUCUGAAUUUCGAAAAAAGAAAAUUGACAAUAAUUAAAGAACAUGGAGUGAUAGUAGAGGGAGUGAUGGCAGGUAGAAUAAGAUGAAAAAUAUAGAGAAGUGUUAUUCAUAUAUAUAGGGAACAAAAAAAAAAAAUCAAAAAAAUAUAAAAAAUUAAAUUUAUUUUGACAAAGGGAGGGGGCUGGGAUGAAAGGUUUUUUUUUGAACAAGUGGAGGGUGAGGGUGGGGGUGGAGAGACAGGUGGAGACAGACAAGUCGGCUGUGCACGGAGGUGGUCUGAACAAGUGUGGGCCUGGUGGGGUGAGGGCCGUGCUGGGGUUUGCAGCAAAAAAGGGAAGCGCUGGGGAGGGGUGGUGUGUAAAGGGUGUGGGGACCGGGGGAAAAGAGGAAAGGGCUAGGAGGCAAAAAAUUAAUUUUGGUCAUAGGGUAUGGUUGAUGGGUCUGCUGAUUUGACAUAAAGAGGGGCGUGUGAAUUAAAUAAACUACUCUGAUUGAGUUUGCCCUGUGCAUGAAUUUUCAUCGCCGGUGAUGGAAAAUAUUGACAAAAACGAGUGACGUAUAGUAUUUUUUCUUCUUUUAUUUUAUGUUUGAAUUUAGAAAGAAUCAAAGAUAUAUAUAAAAAAUAGUACAUAUUCUAUGCUUAGAUAUAACCAUAAUAAUUCGUAACAAACACUACAACAAAUCAUAACA
rnacentral:lncRNA from 1 species